AUGUUUUAUUUAAUAAGUUACAAGAUACAAUUUACAGUCGGCAUUUGAUUCCAGUUUGGCUUCCAUGUCCCAGCUUACAACACCCAUGGUCCUUUCACAUCAGGCUCCGGGCUGUUCCACUUUCUGUAGGGUGGGCUUUUACCCCCAACACUCGCCCCAGAUACUACACCUGCCACAAGAGUGGCCACUUCCUCAGGACUAAGCAGCAAACCCUAAAGGUCUGCCUGCCCAGACCACACUACACAUUUGGGCUCAGGCAACGUCCCUGACACUUUAACCUCAUUCCAAAGCCAGCUCAGGUCUGCAGGAAGGCAGGCAAAAUUCCCUACACCUCAUUUCUGGAUUUCUGCACCAUGCAGCUCUCACUGUUUCUGCCAAUGGUGAAAAGACCACCAAUAAGCUGCUGCCCUUCUCUCCCCCAACCAUUCCCAACUUUCAGGCCAAAGAGCCGCAGGAGUUUCAUUCUGUCCUGUCUGUACAGAUCAUUAUUUUCCAGAAAAAGUGACCCACGAAGUUGGCUGGGGCGGGUGUGGAGUGUUAUGUCAUGGGACGGGCCUUGGGAUGAGGGCGUUAAUCCAUGGGCCCCUCUGAGGUCACUUUAAACAUUUUGGUAAGACUGCCCAGGCUGAUGAAGGGCUGGAGCGUGUGUUAAAAACAAGGGCUAGUGUUGGUUAAAAGGGAUCUUUGGCAAGUGGGGAACUGCUUGCCACUGCAGAAUUUCUUCAGACCAAGGAAGGGACUGAAACGGACUUGGAAAACUAAAGCAAAACCAUGACUGCCGGGAUGGUCUUGUGUGGUGAUUCUGCAAGAAAUAAUCACCAGAGCGAGGGGACAGGUACUUGAGAGACAUGUGGGCCCGGCUGCCACCACAUCCACUCUGCCCUCUGAGAAGUGUAAGAAGGCCACAGAGCAUGGGGGUGUUGGCGAUGAGGAGUGGUAAAGCAGUGCUAGUGAUCUAAUAGCCAAAUACAUUAACACGGACACUGGAAGAGAUUAAGCAGAUUUUAAGUCAUCUCCUUUGCCAAAUGACAACCAAACUAAGUGUCCCCUUUUUCUCUGCCCAUCUUCCCCUAGCCUUGUUUCAUAAAUGCUGAAGAGUGAACCAGCAGCUCAGGCUAGCCAGUUUUGUUUUUUUGAAAUGUCAGUCUCAUUGUGUUCCUGGUCUGUCUGCUGCAGUGGCUGGACUGUUCCACCAAGAGUUCUGGUUUGCACCUAGUGUACUCAGGAUCUUCUCAGCCCACUGAACAAGCUUGCAUUUCUUAAGAUUCUCCAAUAUGUCCCUCAAGAGUCCAGUCUAGGACUUAUUUCUGAAGGCAUUUUACAACAGCAAUAUUUUAGGGAUGGGUUUCAGCCCCACAAACAGGCUGGAGGGCUUUGUAUAAAAUGAAUUACAAACAAGCAACAAAAGCAACCACAAGAACUCUCUCCAGGAUUUGAGAAAACUGUUUUAAGGCACUGUGACAUGAAAAGGGCUGCCAGGGAUGUGUUCCUCCCCCCACUUCACAGCCAGCACAUAAUCGCCCCUCUCCUUGACGACGUAUGUGACAUUGUAUUGCUGGUUGCCUACAUGCUUCAUGGAGACCUCCUCGCAGGGGGUGGUGGGCCCAUGGACCCCGAUCAGCAGCAUGUUGGAGCCUAGGAGGCAAAAGGUGGUUACUCCACCCGGAUGCAUCAGGACAGGCACAGGAAGAAGAGGAAAUAUGAGAGCCAAAGGAAAGGAAGCAGAGGCACAGUGAAGUCAGAUAAUUCAUCUGGAGUCACACAGCUGGGGACCAGCAGAACUGGGAUUUAAACAUGAAGUCUGUCCAACUUGGAGCUAAAGCACUUACCUGAGAGAAGAUGGAAGGAAAAAAAUCCACAAGCAGAAGUCUCUCACCACUGCCUCUAGCUAUAACCUGUAUCUGACACCACAAAACAUCUCUGGGCGCGGCGGUCUUCCCCCACCCCCUCAAAUAUGUCCAGCUCAGUUCCUGGUUUGAAGCAGGCGGUUCUGUACCUCUCCCCUCCUGGCUAGGAGCUUCCCUGCAAGAGCAACUCCUUCUCUCAGCAGCGUCCAGCACUUGCAGAGCACAGCCUGAAACCCAAGCUCCCAAAAAGGUGUGCGAACAGCCAAAAGGAAAUGGGAGAGGGCCCAGGCACAGCGGCAUGAGCCAGCAGGAGGGUGAGAUGCUUCCUGGCCAGUGUGGGAGACCCCAGCAGCUGUUGUGAGGCCUGGCCUGAAGCCUGCCACGCGCUCCAAGUGCCUAGAGGACCCCAGCUGGGCCCUCAAAGCCUCCAUAACAGUGACGCACUCACUGCGCACCACCCGAUGCCACCUGUUCAAAUAACUGCGAUUCACAGCAGGAAUUCUCACUACAGCCAGGAAAAGGAGGGGAAGAUCUGUUCUGACAUGGAAAGAUCUUUAAGAUGUCAAAGCAAAAACACAAGCUAUACCACACAGUGGAUACAGUAAGAUUCUUUCUGUAAGACAAAAGCAAAACUCUGUGUCUGCUUGUCUAAUGAACCAAUUAGCUAACCAACCCAGCAACCAAGAAUGAAGACAGACAAUGAGAUGACAGACAGGGUGAAGGUCCUCCCUUCCCAGAGACGUUUGCUUCUGGACCCAGGUGGGGGAGGAGGAGAGAAGAUGGAGUGGGUCUCACUUUAUUUACUUCUUCACUGCCUGUAUCUUUUAUAAUCAAACAUGUCCCAUCUGUGGCAAAGAAUAAAAAUAAAUUGUAAUGGGUCCAAAAAGCUUCAGAAUUCUUUGAACAUUUCAGUCUUUUCUCCUCCUCCAUUAAGAUCUGAGAGUAAAAAGAGGAGGAGAUAGGCUGGGACAGGUCUUAUUGCUGCUUCAGUGCAUUUCUGGGAGCCUGGUACCAUGAAAGAACAGAUGGGUAGGAGCCCACUUGGACGCAUCAUGAAUUCUGUGCAGGCAAAGAAACCCUCAAAAUUAAUGACACUGUGCUGUGUUCCCUGACUAUCAGCAUCCUGUUCUGAAAGUCAAGAAACUUGGCAGAGGAAGGAAUCUGAAUCACAACUAACAGUAAUGAGGUGUGAUAACACAGCCAUCGAGCUCUCACUCUGGAUUUAUCGCGGGUCAAACCGCAACUCCCAAAACAGCUUUGGACAGCAAGCGCCUCCGAAGUGUGCAUGACCCCAGUUUCCACGGGGAGCGCGUGUAAAAAGCUUCCAUGGGGCUUGAGGAUUUCCAUCUGGCUUGGUCCCUGGAGCUGGUUCAGUUAAGGCUUCAAGAAGCAGAGGAGUGGGUUACCUGUGGUGCCCCCUUCGAGUCCCGCGCCAUAGGCGGACACCAGGGCAGGGUUCCCCGCUUGUCCAGGCUCCCCAACGCGCACUUUGAAGGGGCUUCCAACCACGUGGCUCCCAUUGAACUUGACAUCGAUGGUGUGGACACCAUUCUCAUGAGGGAUGAAGCGAACAGCAUACUUAUCUAGGAGAAUGAGCAAAGGCACAGGGUGAAAUCAAGCAAAUGGACACCCCUGAGUUCAGUGAGGACAAAGGAUGGAGGCCAAGCCGAGAUGGCCCAUUUAAAAUCAACAGUUCUACAGGGAGCCUGGCACUCAGCAUCCUGGAUUUCAGAACCAGACAGACCCCCUGGGUAUCCCUCAUCAGCCCCAAGGGAAACGCAUCCACAUUGCAAAUCCUAUAAACACAGGACAAGACUCUGACCCCUGCCUCAGAACACUUCCUUUCUUUAGAAAACCUCACUUCUUCAAUGUGAAAUUCUGUGAAUGCUGUUACUAAUCCUGUCACGAGAUGAAUCUCAUUUCACCAAAAUUAAAUUAUGUUUUUCCACUAAAAUGAUGAUACAAGUUGAAGACACAGCACUCUGAAAUUGGAAGACCUCACCACUUAAGGCUCCACAGUGGCUUACUCAGCUGAACUCUAGGUUACUACUCUUUACUUUGUUCACCCACUGGGGGGUUCAGUUUGUUUUUAAACAUUGGGAGAUGGCCAUUCUAACUACUGUUGAAUGUCUCUGUUUUGGGAAGGCAUAACAAGAAAUAAAAAAGAAUAUAUAUGAAGGGAAAAAAGAAAACCUCACUUCUUCUACGUUUCUCUAUUUGGCCACUUGAAGGGGAAAAAAACGGUUCCAACUGGCAUUAAUGCUCCUUAAUUAAGCUCAAAGCUAGGAACUGCCCCCACAGGGCAGGUUU
rnacentral:lncRNA from 1 species